AUUGAACGCUGGCGGCAGGCCUAACACAUGCAAGUCGAGCGGAUGAAGGGAGCUUGCUCCUGGAUUCAGCGGCGGACGGGUGAGUAAUGCCUAGGAAUCUGCCUGUUAGUGGGGGAUAACGUCCGGAAACGGGCGCUAAUACCGCAUACGUCCUGAGGGAGAAAGUGGGGGAUCUUCGGACCUCACGCUAUCAGAUGAGCCUAGGUCGGAUUAGCUAGUUGGUGGGGUAAAGGCCUACCAAGGCGACGAUCCGUAACUGGUCUGAGAGGGUGAUCAGCCACACUGGAACUGAGACACGGUCCAGACUCCUACGGGAGGCAGCAGUGGGGAAUAUUGGACAAUGGGCGAAAGCCUGAUCCAGCCAUGCCGCGUGUGUGAAGAAGGUCUUCGGAUUGUAAAGCACUUUAAGUUGGGAGGAAGGGCAGUAAGUUAAUACCUUGCUGUUUUGACGUUACCAACAGAAUAAGCACCGGCUAACUUCGUG
rnacentral:rRNA from 1 species